rnacentral:rRNA from 1 species
CUUAGAAGUGUGGACACCAGUCUGCUUGGAGCCGACCUUGAUAUACCACCCUUUAAUGUUUGAUGUUCUAACGUUGACCCGCAAUCCGGGUUGCGGACCGUGACUGGUGGGUAGUUUGACUGGGGCGGUCUCCUCCUAAAUAGUAACGGAGGAGCACGAAGGUUGGCUAAUCCUGGUCGGACAUCAGGAGGUUAUUGCAAUGGCAUAAGCCAGCUUGACUGCGAGCGUGACGGCGCGAGCAGGUGCGAAAACAGGUCAUAGUGAUCCGGUGGUUCUGAAUGGAAGGGCCAUCCCUCAACGGAUAAAAGGUACUCCGGGGAUAACAGGCUGAUACCGCCCAAGAGUUCAUAUCGACGGCGGUGUUUGGCACCUCGAUGUCGGCUCAUCAUAUCCUGGGGCUGAAGUAGGUCCCAAGGGUAUGGCUGUUCGCCUUUUAAAGUGGUACGCGAGCUGGGUUUAAAACGUCGUGAGACAGUUCGGUCCCUAUCUGCCGUGGGCGCUGGAAAACUGAGGGGGGCUGCUCCUAAUACGAAAGGACCGGAGUGGACGCAUCACUGGUGUUCGGUUUGUCAUGCCAAUGGCACUGCCCGGUAGCUAAAUGCGGAAGAGAUAAGUG